UGGGGAAUUUUGGACAAUGGGGGAAACCCUGAUCCAGCCAUCCCGCGUGUGCGAUGAAGGCCUUCGGGUUGUAAAGCACUUUUGGCAGGAAAGAAACGUCAUGGGUUAAUACCCCGUGAAACUGCCGGUACCUGCAGAAUAAGCACCGGCUAACUACGUGCCAGCAGCCGCGGUAAUACGUAGGGUGCAAGCGUUAAUCGGAAUUACUGGGCGUAAAGCGUGCGCAGGCGGUUCGGAAAGAAAGAUGUGAAAUCCCAGAGCUCAACUUUGGAAGUGCAUUUUUAACUACCGGGCUAGAGUGUGGCAGAGGGAGGUGGAAUUCCGCGUGUAGCAGUGAAAUGCGUAGAUAUGCGGGGGAACACCGAUGGCGAAGGCAGCCUCCUGGGAUAACACUGACGCUCAUGCACGAAAGCGUGGGGAGCAAACAGG
rnacentral:rRNA from 1 species